UGACUCUCUCUCUCUCUCUCUCUAUAUAUAUAUAUAUGCAUCCACACCCAACACCAAAGCUAAAACCAUUGAGAACAAAGAGAGAGAGGGAUUGACAAAAAUGAUGAGUUGGAUUAGUGUUGGAGGGAAAAGGAAGGUGCAUGCCAUGAACUGGGCUAAGAGAUUAAGUAAAGGAGAGAGUGAAGUUACUCUUGUGAGGCAAGUGGUGUGGAAGCUGAGGCUCCAGUGGAGGCAAGCAAUGAGAUCUUCGCGAAGGAGGAGCGCGAGGUUCGCAUACGACGCCGAGAGCUACUCGCAGAAUUUCGACGACGGUUAUCUUCGUGAUCAUCUUUGAAAGAUAUAUAGCAGUUGAAGUUAAAGGGCCUUCGAACUAAUUAAUCAAAGGACCUUUUCUUUUUCCUUUUGAUUUUUUUUCCUUUUGUGGCACAUGUUGAGUGCCUAGUUUUUGUUGAUAUUAGAAGAUUAGUCGAAAAGGCUCUUCCUAGGACCAAGCUUAAUUAUGAGAUUGUACUUAUAUUUGAAUCCUUAAAAAUGAUUGUUUUCAGCAGCAGCAAUUGUGUUCAUGUCGAUUAAUCUAAAAUUCUCAAACGACAAACUUAGUUCGAUUAUUACUGAAAUCUAACUAAGAUUAUACUAUAAUUAUACUGAAAUCUAUGCUUGCUCUUAACAAGGAUUCGAACGCAAAAAAAAAAAAACUUUUUUUCUUUGAUUUUUUCCUUUUCUACUCCCUCUCUUUUCUUUGUCCUCUGUUGCUCUUGCACAUCUAGGAACUGAUUAGUGGAUUCAACUUUUAUAU
rnacentral:lncRNA from 1 species